rnacentral:lncRNA from 1 species
AUUAUUGUGUGCUCCUGCUGCUGUUCUCAGGUCAGAUAUAAGCAGAAGAAUGAUCAGCUCAGUCUGUAUUCACUCCUGCCGCAGACCGCAGACACAGAGUUCGCCAAACACAUGAGCGACGUCCAGAGUGAGCUUCAGUACAAGCAGGAGGGUAAGAAGGAAGCGGAGAGCAAUCUGUACAGCCUGAUGCCGCAGACGCUCCAGACCGAACAUGCUAAAGACGCCUACGAGCUGCAGAGUCACGUUAAAUAUAAAGAGAAGAACAAAACAGAUGCAUCUCUUUAUGCCUGUCUGCCCGAGACUCAGAACACGGAACACGCCAAACACGCUGGAGAGCUGUGCAGUGAGGUAUGUACGGCACUGACAGCAGAUUCACACGCACUCAUGAGCAUCACACUGACCGCAGGUGUGUUUCCUUCAGCUGAAGUAUAAAGAGGCCGUGAAGAAGGAUCUGUCCUCACCGCUGUACUCGCAGAUGAGCGACACCGCA